rnacentral:tRNA from 1 species
GGAGGGGUACCGAAGUGGCCAAACGGGGCGGACUGUAAAUCCGUUGGCGACGCCUACGGGGGUUCGAAUCCCUCCCCCUCCA